rnacentral:rRNA from 1 species
AGAGUUUGAUCCUGGCUCAGAGCGAACGCUGGCGGCAGGCCUAACACAUGCAAGUCGAACGGACCCUUCGGGGUUAGUGGCGGACGGGUGAGUAACACGUGGGAACGUGCCUUUAGGUUCGGAAUAGCUCCUGGAAACGGGUGGUAAUGCCGAAUGUGCCCUUCGGGGGAAAGAUUUAUCGCCUUUAGAGCGGCCCGCGUCUGAUUAGCUAGUUGGUGAGGUAAUGGCUCACCAAGGCGACGAUCAGUAGCUGGUCUGAGAGGAUGACCAGCCACAUUGGGACUGAGACACGGCCCAAACUCCUACGGGAGGCAGCAGUGGGGAAUCUUGCGCAAUGGGCGAAAGCCUGACGCAGCCAUGCCGCGUGAAUGAUGAAGGUCUUAGGAUUGUAAAAUUCUUUCACCGGGGACGAUAAUGACGGUACCCGGAGAAGAAGCCCCGGCUAACUUCGUGCCAGCAGCCGCGGUAAUACGAAGGGGGCUAGCGUUGCUCGGAAUUACUGGGCGUAAAGGGCGCGUAGGCGGAUCGUUAAGUCAGAGGUGAAAUCCCGGAGCUCAACUUCGGAACUGCCUUUGAUACUGGCGAUCUUGAGUGUGAGAGAGGUAUGUGGAACUCCGAGUGUAGAGGUGAAAUUCGUAGAUAUUCGGAAGAACACCAGUGGCGAAGGCGACAUACUGGCUCAUUACUGACGCUGAGGCGCGAAAGCGUGGGGAGCAAACAGGAUUAGAUACCCUGGUAGUCCACGCCGUAAACGAUGAUUGCUAGUUGUCGGGCUGCAUGCAGUUCGGUGACGCAGCUAACGCAUUAAGCAAUCCGCCUGGGGAGUACGGUCGCAAGAUUAAAACUCAAAGGAAUUGACGG